rnacentral:rRNA from 1 species
UAGGGCGGGACACGAGGAAUCCUGUCUGAAUCCGGGUCGACCACGAUCCAACCCUAAAUACUAAUACCAGAUCGAUAGUGCACAAGUACCGUGAGGGAAAGGUGAAAAGAACUGAGGUGAUCAGAGUGAAAUAGAACCUGAAACCAUUUGCUUACAAUCAUUCAGAGCCCUAUGUAGCAAUACAGGGUGAUGGACUGCCUUUUGCAUAAUGAGCCUGCGAGUUGUGGUGUCUGGCAAGGUUAAGCAAACGCGAAGCCGUAGCGAAAGCGAGUCUGAAUAGGGCGCUUAGUCAGAUGCUGCAGACCCGAAACGAAGUGAUCUAUCCAUGAGCAAGUUGAAGCUAGUGUAAGAACUAGUGGAGGACUGAACCCAUAGGCGUUGAAAAGCCCCGGGAUGACUUGUGGAUAGGGGUGAAAGGCCAAUCAAACUUCGUGAUAGCUGGUUCUCUCCGAAAUAUAUUUAGGUAUAGCGUUGUGUCGUAAUAUAAGGGGGUAGAGCACUGAAUGGGCUAGGGCAUACACCAAUGUACCAAACCCUAUCAAACUCCGAAUACCUUAUAUGUAAUCACAGCAGUCAGGCGGCGAGUGAUAAAAUCCGUCGUCAAGAGGGAAACAACCCAGACUACCAGCUAAGGUCCCUAAAUCUUACUUAAGUGGAAAACGAUGUGAAGUUACUUAAACAACCAGGAGGUUGGCUUAGAAGCAGCCAUCCUUUAAAGAAAGCGUAAUAGCUCACUGGUCUAGUGAUUUUGCGCGGAAAAUA